GAGAACGGAGACGAGGAGUCGGAGGAGCCGCCCAAACCGGAGGUCAAAGAGGUCAAAGAGGACGACGCCUUCUACUCAAAGAAGUGUAAACUUUUCUACAAGAAGGACUCUGAGUUCAAAGAGAAGGGAGUGGGAACUCUGCACCUCAAACAGAUCGAGGA